rnacentral:ncRNA from 1 species
UGAUAGAGGCGCGGACGCCAUCAGUAUCUCCGGAACAAGGCAGGUCUCAUCCGGAGAGAAAGGGACGGCCGCCGAGGAAACGGCUGUGCAUCCUGCUGCGGGCCGGUUCCGGGACGCAGGGGAAUACCUUGCGGACUGUCGCCGGUUCCGGCGGAGCGCUGUCGU